rnacentral:rRNA from 1 species
UGGGCGCAGCCUGAUGCAGCCAUGCCGCGUGUGUGAAGAAGGCCUUCGGGUUGUAAAGCACUUUCAGUCGUGAGGAAGGCGGUACAGUUAAUAGCUGUAUUGUUUGACGUUAGCGACAGAAGAAGCACCGGCUAACUCCGUGCCAGCAGCCGCGGUAAUACGGAGGGUGCGAGCGUUAAUCGGAAUUACUGGGCGUAAAGCGCAUGCAGGUGGUUUGUUAAGUCAGAUGUGAAAGCCCGGGGCUCAACCUCGGAAUAGCAUUUGAAACUGGCAGACUAGAGUACUGUAGAGGGGGGUAGAAUUUCAGGUGUAGCGGUGAAAUGCGUAGAGAUCUGAAGGAAUACCGGUGGCGAAGGCGGCCCCCUGGACAGAUACUGACACUCAGAUGCGAAAGCGUGGGGAGCAAACAGGAUUAGAUACCCUGGUAGUCCACGCCGUAAACGAUGUCUACUUGGAGGUUGUGGCCUUGAGCCGUGGCUUUCGGAGCUAACGCGUUAAGUAGACCGCCUGGGGAGUACGGUCGCAAGAUUAAAACUCAAAUGAAUUGACGGGGGCCCGCACAAGCGGUGGAGCAUGUGGUUUAAUUCGAUGCAACGCGAAGAACCUUACCUACUCUUGACAUCCAGAGAAGCCAGCGGAGACGCAGGUGUGCCUUCGGGAGCUCUGAGACAGGUGCUGCAUGGCUGUCGUCAGCUCGUGUUGUGAAAUGUUGGGUUAAGUCCCGCAACGAGCGCAACCCUUAUCCUUGUUUGCCAGCGAGUAAUGUCGGGAACUCCAGGGAGACUGCCGGUGAUAAACCGGAGGAAGGU